rnacentral:rRNA from 1 species
UACGUAGGGGGCAAGCGUUGUCCGGAUUUAUUGGGCGUAAAGGGCGCGUAGGCGGCCAUUCAAGUGACGGGUGAAAGCCCUCGGCUUAACCGAGGAACUGCCUGUCAGACUGGAUGGCUUGAGACCGGGAGAGGUGAGUGGAAUUCCCAGUGUAGCGGUGAAAUGCGUAGAUAUUGGGAGGAACACCAGUGGCGAAGGCGGCUCACUGGACCGGAACUGACGCUGAGGCGCGAAAGCGUGGGGA